rnacentral:rRNA from 1 species
GUGUCAGCCGCCGCGGUAAUACGGGGGGGGCAAGCGUUGUUCGGAAUUACUGGGCGUAAAGGGCUCGUAGGCGGCCAACUAAGUCAGACGUGAAAUCCCCCGGCUUAACCAGGGAACUGCGUCUGAUACUGGAUGGCUUGAGUUUGGGAGAGGGAUGCGGAAUUCCAGGUGUAGCGGUGAAAUGCGUAGAUAUCUGGAGGAACACCGGUGGCGAAGGCGACAUCCUGGACCAACACUGACGCUGAGUGAGCGAAAGCCAGGGGAGCAAACGGGAUUAGAUACCCCAGUAGUCC